GCUCCACUAAAAGGCAGUAGGCGGAACUUCGGCUUUCUCUCGGCCUUAGCGCCAUCUUCUUAGAAACCUCCGCACUAUGAGGGCCAAGUGGAGGAAGAAGCGAAUGCGCAGGCUGAAGCGCAAAAGAAGAAAGAUGAGGCAGAGGUCCAAGUAAACCUCUCGCUUGUGCACCCGUGGAGGCCACAGAAGCAGAAACAUGGAAUGCCAGAGGCUCGGGACGCUGGUACAAGUUGUCUAACUCGUCUCUCCAGGAAUCUAGAACUCCACGCCAUCCGAUCGUCAAGACCGCCUCUGAGAGACCCACCUUGCUCAUCAUACCAAAACAGUUCCCGUUGGUCCUUGGCCCUGAACCUGUGACAUUCUGGACUAGUUCUGUGUUGAGUUGUGGCCGAAUGUAACGAGUGUACAAUAAAUCAUCUCUUCUGGUGUCUUAGCUGAAGAA